AUUGAACGCUGGCGGCAGGCCUAACACAUGCAAGUCGAGCGAGCGGCGGACGGGUGAGUAAUGUCUGGGAAACUGCCUGAUGGAGGGGGGUAACUACUGGAAACGGUAGCUAAUACACCAUAACAUCAGAUAUGCCCCGAUGGGAUUAGGUAGUGGUGGGGGUAACGGCUCACCUAGGCGACGAUCCCUAGCUGGGCUGAGAGGAUGACCAGCCACAUUGUACAUGAGACACGGUCCAGACUCCUACGGGAGGCAGCAGUGGGGAAUAUUGCACAAUGGGCGCCAGCCUGAUGCAGCCAUGCCGCGUGUGUGAAGAAGGCCUUCGGGUUGUAAAGCACUUUCAGCGGGGAGGCGUUACUCGCAGAAGAAGCACCGGCUAACUCCGUGCCAGCAGCCGCGGUAAUAC
rnacentral:rRNA from 1 species